GAGGCUUCUUCUCCUCCAACACCUGAGAGUAGAGAGCAGAUACGGAGUCAUGGUCACAGAGAGAGGCAGAGUGCAUAGCUUCUUCUUCUCUGACACCUGAGAAAACCUGCCGUCCUCUGCCUGAGAGCAGAGCUGCUUCUCCUUCGCCGAGCCCGCCGCCGCGCCAUCCUCUUCAUAUUCGUCGUUGCAACGUCUUUGCCAAUCAGCGUCGCUAUGAGCCCGUCGCCAAAGCACGUUGCCAUCGCAGUUUCUUCGCAGUCACGGUGGCUCAAUCAGUUAAAAUGUGGUGGACCAAAUAAUCUGAUGUAAGUAAAGAAUGCAAAACUUGCUGAUUAUGCAGACGGAGCUUUCACAACAAGUAAAAUAUUUGAGUUUUUGGACUACAACAAGUUUCCAUUAGUGACAAAAUGACUGAAAUGAACUCUAUCAGUGUCUACUCAAGCCCCGUCAAGCUUCAGGUUUUUGUCUUUGCCGAUAUUGAUGACUUCAAGGAUCUUCAAGAUACAAUUCAAGAUGUUGCAAGAACUUUCAAGUCAAAGAUAAUGUUUAUAUAUGUUGAUAUAUGGUGAGCCAAAUAAUGAAGAAAUGGAGAACAGCCACGUCAGAGGGCUUUUUUAUUUUUGACUGGGAGGGACUUGACCGUCUUUGCCAUCCUCAUGGAUCAAAUUAUCCCUACUGCAUUAAAUCUGCUGCAAUGCUGGAAUUGACAUGGUAAUGGUGGGUGUAAAAUUUGAACCAUUUAUUGAAGAUUUGACCUCUCUUGUUAAAUCGGGGAAAGUACCAAUAAGCAUAAUUGAUGAUGCUGUUGAGCAAAUUUUGAGAGUGAAGUUUGCCGCUGGUCUUUUUGAAUUUCCUUUUUAGUGACAGAUCUUUGCUAGAUACGGUUGGAUGCAAGCAACAUAGAGACUAACACACGAAGCAGUUCGAAAGUCCUUGGUUCUGUUGAAAAAUGGAAAAGAUAUUAGCAAACCCUUUCUUCCAUUGGAUAGGAAAGCAAAGAGAAUCCUUGUUGCUGGGACUCAUGCCAAUGAUCUUGGAUUUCAGUGUGGAGGUUGGAUCAAUUAUCAUUUGUUUUAAGAGUAGUUGAAGGUUUGAAGAUGGAGUUACCAAGCAAUGUGGAAAAUGUGCACACUGAAAGAGAAGAUCCUUCUCAGUUCAUCACACAUAGAGCUAAAGAUUUUGUUAUUAGCAUGAAGGAAAUUGAGCAUAGAUUCUUUCGUACUUUUGAAUCUGGUAGAGAGGUUUCUAGGCUUCUAGAAGCUAACAAAAUUAUGGUUGGAUAUUCUGAAUCCAAAGGGAAGCCUUCUGCAAUGGCAUUGCUAAGAGCUUUUCGUUCUGUUUUCCAUGGCGAAAAAGUAAGACCUCUUUCUAAAGGCAACAGUGGGAGCUGAAACUGAAGUUAUUUAAUCUUGUUGGUUAGUUGCUAAACAAAUCCCAACAUUGGUUAUUCUGAUAUCUGGGAGACCUUACUUUUGGAGCCACAAUUGUUUGAAAAGAUUGAUUCAUUUGUUGUUGUUUGAUUGACUGGUUCUGAAGCACUGGGAAUCACGGAUGUUAUCUUUGGCGAACAUGACUUCAAGGGUCAAUUACCAGUGACUUGGAUUCGAAAUGUCGAACAGCUCGAUCAACCAACCGAUAGAGUUAGUUCACAAGAACCCUUGUUUCCUCUUGGUUUCGAUCAAUCAACCUGUUAUC